rnacentral:ncRNA from 2 species
AUUUUUUAAAAAGCGCCUGAACCUGAUCUGAACGGAAAAUUAUACAGGUGGACGAGGAAGAAGGUUAUCGAAAAUUCGGCGGAUGCCUUCAGACAGUGACUGUUCUGUCUUAGUUUAUUUCUUAAAAUUAGCAGGUAAUUGCUAAGACAAAGGGAAUAAAUAACAGUCAA